AAGCGUACACGGUGGAUGCCCUGGCAGUCAGAGGCGAUGAAGGGCGUGCUAAUCUGCGAUAAGCGCCGGUAAGGUGAUAUGAACCGUUAUAACCGGCGAUACCCGAAUGGGGAAACCCAGUGUGAUUCGUCACACUAUCAUUAACUGAAUCCAUAGGUUAAUGAGGCGAACCGGGGGAACUGAAACAUCUAAGUACCCCGAGGAAAAGAAAUCAACCGAGAUUCCCCCAGUAGCGGCGAGCGAACGGGGAGGAGCCCAGAGCCUGAAUCAGCAUGUGUGUUAGUGGAAGCGUCUGGAAAGGCGCGCGAUACAGGGUGACAGCCCCGUACACAAAAGCGCAUGUGCUGUGAGCUCGAUGAGUAGGGCGGGACACGUGGUAUCCUGUCUGAAUAUGGGGGGACCAUCCUCCAAGGCUAAAUACUCCUGACUGACCGAUAGUGAACCAGUACCGUGAGGGAAAGGCGAAAAGAACCCCGGCGAGGGGAGUGAAAAAGAACCUGAAACCGUGUACGUACAAGCAGUGGGAGCACCCUUUGGGUGUGACUGCGUACCUUUUGUAUAAUGGGUCAGCGACUUAUAUUCUGUAGCAAGGUUAACCGAAUAGGGGAGCCGGAGGGAAACCGAGUCUUAAUUGGGCGUUAAGUUGCAGGGUAUAGACCCGAAACCCGGUGAUCUAGCCAUGGGCAGGUUGAAGGUUGGGUAACACUAACUGGAGGACCGAACCGACUAAUGUUGAAAAAUUAGCGGAUGACCUGUGGCUGGGGGUGAAAGGCCAAUCAAACCGGGAGAUAGCUGGUUCUCCCCGAAAGCUAUUUAGGUAGCGCCUCGUGAAUUCAUCUCCGGGGGUAGAGCACUGUUUCGGCUAGGGGGCCAUCCCGGCUUACCAACCCGAUGCAAACUGCGAAUACCGGAGAAUGUUAUCACGGGAGACACACGGCGGGUGCUAACGUCCGUCGUGAAGAGGGAAACAACCCAGACCGCCAGCUAAGGUCCCAAAGUCAUGGUUAAGUGGGAAACGAUGUGGGAAGGCCCAGACAGCCAGGAUGUUGGCUUAGAAGCAGCCAUCAUUUAAAGAAAGCGUAAUAGCUCACUGGUCGAGUCGGCCUGCGCGGAAGAUGUAACGGGGCUAAACCAUGCACCGAAGCUGCGGCAGCGACACUGUGUGUUGUUGGGUAGGGGAGCGUUCUGUAAGCCUGUGAAGGUGUGUCGUGAGGCAUGCUGGAGGUAUCAGAAGUGCGAAUGCUGACAUAAGUAACGAUAAAGCGGGUGAAAAGCCCGCUCGCCGGAAGACCAAGGGUUCCUGUCCAACGUUAAUCGGGGCAGGGUGAGUCGACCCCUAAGGCGAGGCCGAAAGGCGUAGUCGAUGGGAAACGGGUUAAUAUUCCCGUACUUGGUGUUACUGCGAAGGGGGGACGGAGAAGGCUAUGUUGGCCGGGCGACGGUUGUCCCGGUUUAAGCGUGUAGGUGUGUGUUCCAGGUAAAUCCGGUUCACUUUAACACUGAGGCGUGACGACGAGGCACUACGGUGCUGAAGCAACAAAUGCCCUGCUUCCAGGAAAAGCCUCUAAGCAUCAGGUAACAUCAAAUCGUACCCCAAACCGACACAGGUGGUCAGGUAGAGAAUACCAAGGCGCUUGAGAGAACUCGGGUGAAGGAACUAGGCAAAAUGGUGCCGUAACUUCGGGAGAAGGCACGCUGACACGUAGGUGAAGUGAUUUACUCAUGGAGCUGAAGUCAGUCGAAGAUACCAGCUGGCUGCAACUGUUUAUUAAAAACACAGCACUGUGCAAACACGAAAGUGGACGUAUACGGUGUGACGCCUGCCCGGUGCCGGAAGGUUAAUUGAUGGGGUCAGCGCAAGCGAAGCUCCUGAUCGAAGCCCCGGUAAACGGCGGCCGUAACUAUAACGGUCCUAAGGUAGCGAAAUUCCUUGUCGGGUAAGUUCCGACCUGCACGAAUGGCGUAAUGAUGGCCAGGCUGUCUCCACCCGAGACUCAGUGAAAUUGAACUCGCUGUGAAGAUGCAGUGUACCCGCGGCAAGACGGAAAGACCCCGUGAACCUUUACUAUAGCUUGACACUGAACAUUGAGCCUUGAUGUGUAGGAUAGGUGGGAGGCUUUGAAGUGUGGACGCCAGUCUGCAUGGAGCCGACCUUGAAAUACCACCCUUUAAUGUUUGAUGUUCUAACGUGGACCCGUUACCCGGGUUGCGGACAGUGUCUGGUGGGUAGUUUGACUGGGGCGGUCUCCUCCUAAAGAGUAACGGAGGAGCACGAAGGUUGGCUAAUCCUGGUCGGACAUCAGGAGGUUAGUGCAAUGGCAUAAGCCAGCUUGACUGCGAGCGUGACGGCGCGAGCAGGUGCGAAAGCAGGUCAUAGUGAUCCGGUGGUUCUGAAUGGAAGGGCCAUCGCUCAACGGAUAAAAGGUACUCCGGGGAUAACAGGCUGAUACCGCCCAAGAGUUCAUAUCGACGGCGGUGUUUGGCACCUCGAUGUCGGCUCAUCACAUCCUGGGGCUGAAGUAGGUCCCAAGGGUAUGGCUGUUCGCCAUUUAAAGUGGUACGCGAGCUGGGUUUAGAACGUCGUGAGACAGUUCGGUCCCUAUCUGCCGUGGGCGCUGGAGAACUGAGGGGGGCUGCUCCUAGUACGAGAGGACCGGAGUGGACGCAUCACUGGUGUUCGGGUUGUCAUGCCAAUGGCACUGCCCGGUAGCUAAAUGCGGAAGAGAUAAGUGCUGAAAGCAUCUAAGCACGAAACUUGCCCCGA
rnacentral:rRNA from 1 species